AUCCCAUGGUGAGGGAAAUUUCACAAUAACUCCUUGAAUUACUCCAAUGUCUCAUACAGAGAUUCGUCAUCAAGUUGUUGGAAUGCAGUGACCUCAUUUUAAAGCUU
rnacentral:snoRNA from 1 species